CGGGACUUCACCAGUUUGCCUCUGAAUAUCAAGACAAGACUUUCCAAAUCAGAACCUAAUGUCAGACCAAGAAAAUUCAGUUCGUUUCAGCAGCAACUUCAUAUGAAUUCCUCCAGUGCCUAGUACAACGCAGGAAUAAAACAACAAAAUGGUACAAUCUGUACCAUCUGAGAUGAGAAUCCACAGCCAGCUAAAUGCAGGUCCUCGGAUUACAGGGCUUUGCUCCCUGCUGGUCCACUUCCUCUCCAGGACUGGGCAUGUCAUUCUGAUACACUUUCAAUUAAAAAUGUUCUUGCCAUAAAUUUAAACAAGUUGACCAUGAAAUUCUGCA